CAGGGGUUACCUGACUUGGUGUCAAGUGUCUGUGUGGGUACAGGGGUUACCUGACUUGGUGUCAGGUGUCUGUGUGGGUACAGGGGUUAACUGACUUGGUGUCCAGUGUCUGUGUGGGUACAGGGGUUACCUGACUUGGUAUCAAGUGUCUGUGUGGGUACAGGGGUUACCUGACUUGGUGUCAAGUGUCUGUGUGGGUACAGGGGUUACCUGACUUGGUAUCAAGUGUCUGUGUGGGUACAGGGGUUACCUGACUUGGUGUCCAGUGUCUGUGUGGGUACAGGGGUUACCUGACUUGGUGUCCAGUGUCUGUGUGGGUACAGGGGUUACCUGACUUGGUAUCAAGUGUCUGUGUGGGUACAGGGGUUAACUGACUUGGUAUCAAGUGUCUGUGUGGGUACAGGGGUUACCUGACUUGGUAUCAAGUGUCUGUGUGGGUACAGGGGUUAACUGACUUGGUAUCAAGUGUCUGUGUGGGUACAGGGGUUACCUGACUUGGUAUCAAGUGUCUGUGUGGGUACAGGGGUUAACUGACUUGGUAUCAAGUGUCUGUGUGGGUACAGGGGUUACCUGACUUGGUAUCAAGUGUCUGUGUGGGUACAGGGGUUACCUGACUUGGUAUCAAGUGUCUGUGUGGGUACAGGGGUUACCUGACUUGGUAUCAAGUGUCUGUGUGGGUAUAGGGGUUAACUGACUUAGUGUCAAGUGUCUGUGGGGGUACAGAGGUUUCCUCUAUAUGCUGUAUAGUGACAUUAUGUAUAGAUAUACCAUUUCUAGAAGUCAUAUUCCUCAUCUUAAUGAUACAUUAUGUAUAGAUAUACCAUUUCUAGAAGUCAUAUUCCUCAUCUAAUCUUGACAUAUUAUGAGUUGAGAUUUGGAAGUAUGGCCUCGAGAUUAGACCACAUAGGUUAAUGUAGCCCAUCACAGGCCCCUGAGCCUGCGCAGGGAAGUCUUUUGGA